UGGGGAAUAUUGCACAAUGGGCGGAAGCCUGAUGCAGCGACGCCGCGUGAGGGACGAAGGCCUUCGGGUUGUAAACCUCUUUCAGCAGGGACGAAGCGUGAGUGACGGUACCUGCAGAAGAAGCACCGGCUAACUACGUGCCAGCAGCCGCGGUAAUACGUAGGGUGCGAGCGUUGUCCGGAAUUACUGGGCGUAAAGAGUUCGUAGGCGGUUUGUCGCGUCGUUUGUGAAAACCCGGGGCUCAACUUCGGGCUUGCAGGCGAUACGGGCAGACUUGAGUGUUUCAGGGGAGACUGGAAUUCCUGGUGUAGCGGUGAAAUGCGCAGAUAUCAGGAGGAACACCGGUGGCGAAGGCGGGUCUCUGGGAAACAACUGACGCUGAGGAACGAAAGCGUGGGUAGCAAACAGG
rnacentral:rRNA from 1 species